UAAUAUCUACAACCUCCGCCGGAAGAAGUCUACUCAUCUCCACAAGAUCUUAUCCAGAUUUCUUCUAUUUUGCUGGCCAUUUGGUUUCCAGUCGUUCAAAUCUAAGAUGGAGGUUUGGACGUUUGAAGAAAUACAUAAUGCCUUAAAUUAUGCUUCUCAAAACCAUGGAAAGCACAACUAGCUAGGGAAAGCAAAGGUAAUUGCAUUAUGGAGUUAUAAUUUGCUACUACUUUUAGGUCUUGAAUGAGUAGCAUAGCAAUGUGUACUAUUUACCCCAUGUCUACUCAAGUGAUGGCUACACUGCUCAAGAGCAUAUCAUUGAAGGGAUAGGGUUAAUGACAAAUAUGAAGAGGGUCGUGACAUAAGUCAUCUUUUUGAAUUCAUGUUUGGGAAUAUUGAUGGUUUUGGUGAUCUUGAUAUUGAUAACCUUGAUGAGAUUAUAAGUGGAUACUGAUUGAACAAUACGAGGAAUGAGAAAUCCAAGCGUUGACCGAGGAAGACUAUCUCAUACCAAAAUCCGAUUAUGUUUCUACAACAGUAACUUCAUCGUUAGUUACAUCAUCUACAUUGUUUUGAUGAUGAAAAUUAUGAUGAAGAAGAAUUACUGAACAAAUUACGUGUGAUGUGAUAUGUGAUGUGAUAUGUAAUGUCAUUUAUAUUUCGAUUAUUUAUAAUGUUAUAACAUAUCUAAUU
rnacentral:lncRNA from 1 species